CCUACGGGAGGCAGCAGUGAGGAAUAUUGGUCAAUGGGCGCUAGCCUGAACCAGCCAAGUAGCGUGAAGGAUGACUGCCCUAUGGGUUGUAAACUUCUUUUAUAUGGGAAUAAAGUGCAGUAUGUAUACUGCUUUGCAUGUACCUUAUGAAUAAGGAUCGGCUAACUCCGUGCCAGCAGCCGCGGUAAUACGGAGGAUUCGGGCGUUAUCCGGAUUUAUUGGGUUUAAAGGGGACGUAGGCGGGUUGGUAAGUCCGUUGGUAAAGUUUGCGGGUCAACCGUACAAUUGCAGUUGAUACUGGCAUCCUUGAGUACAGGAGAGGUAGGCGGAAUUCGUGGUGUAGCGGUGAAAUGCUUAGAUAUCACGAAGAACUCCGAGUGCGAAGGCAGCCUGCUGGACUGUAACUGACGCUGAUGCUCGAAAGUGUGGGUAUCAAACAGGAUUAGAUACCCUUGUAGUC
rnacentral:rRNA from 1 species